GAUGAACGCUGGCGGCGUGCCUAAUACAUGCAAGUCGAGCGAACGGACGAGAAGCUUGCUUCUCUGACGUUAGCGGCGGACGGGUGAGUAACACGUGGAUAACCUACCUAUAAGACUGGGAUAACUUCGGGAAGCCGGAGCUAAUACCGGAUAAUAUUUUGAACCGCAUGGUUCAAAAGUGAAAGACGGUCUUGCUGUCACUUAUAGAUGGAUCCGCGCUGCAUUAGCUAGUUGGUAAGGUAACGGCUUACCAAGGCAACGACGCAUAGCCGACCUGAGAGGGUGAUCGGCCACACUGGAACUGAGACACGGUCCAGACUCCUACGGGAGGCAGCAGUAGGGAAUCCUCCGCAAUGGGCGAAAGCCUGACGGAGCAACGCCGCGUGAGUGAUGAAGGUCUUCGGAUCGUAAAACUCUGUUAUUAGGGAAGAACAUAUGUGUAAGUAACUGUGCACAUCUUGACGGUACCUAAUCAGAAAGCCACGGCUAACUACGUG
rnacentral:rRNA from 1 species